rnacentral:lncRNA from 1 species
GCCGCGCAGUCCUUCAGAGCUUCAAACACAAACUCUGCGGAGAGGAGACCCUGCACAAGUAAAGAUGACACGGUUAAACAUGCGGAUUCCAACGACUAACGGUUGCAUUUAAGCGCGAACAGCAGUUAAAACCCUAAGCUUGCGGCCCAGACUUACCGUGCACGAUACCGUGCUAAGGCGCCUCACGUACGUCCCAAAUCGAAUUCGUCAAUGCAACCUCCGAACGGCAUUAUGCCACGAAACCCCACAAGAGCAUCCGUCCAUGCAAGCCCACAAACCAAAUUGUGCCAGGCCAUGUCCCCCAAACCGCAUCAUGCCAGGCCAUGUCCCCCGAACCGCAUCAUGCCAGGCCAUGUCCCCCAAACCCGCAUCAUGCCAGGCCAUGCCCCCUAAUCGCAUCAUGCCAGGCCAUGCCCCCCAAUCGCAUCAUGCCAGGCCAUGUCCCCCGAACCACAUCAUGCCAGGCCAUGUCCCCCAAACCCGCAUUAUGCCAGGCCAUGCCCCCCAAUCACAUCAUGCCAGGCCAUGCCCCCCAAUCACAUCAUGCCAGGCCGUGCCCCCCAAUCACAUCAUGCCAGGCCAUCCACCCCAAAUCGCGUUGUGCAAGGCCAUGCCCCCAAAACCGCAUCAUGCCAGGCCAUGUCCCCCAAACACGCAUCAUGCCAGGCCAUGUCCCCCAAACCCGCAUCAUGCCAGGCCAUGCACCCCAAAAUCGCAUUGUGCCAGGCCAUGUCCCCCGGACCGCAUCAUGCCAGGCAAAGCCCCCCGAACCGCAUCAUGCCAGGCCAUGUCCCCCAAUCGCAUCAUGCUAGGCCAUGUCCCCCAAACCCGCAUCAUGCCAGGCCAUGCCCCCCAAACCGCAUCAUGCCAGGCCAUGUCCCCCGAACCACAUCAUGCCAGGCCAUGUCCCCCAAACCCGCAUCAUGCCAGGCCAUGCCCCCCAAUCACAUCAUGCCAGGCCAUGCCCCCCAGUCACAUCAUGCCAGGCCAUGCACCCCAAAUCGCGUUGUGCAAGGCCAUGCCCCCCAAACCGCAUCAUGCCAGGCCAUGUCCCCCAAACCCGCAUCAUGCCAGGCCAUGCCCCCCAAUCACAUCAUGCCAGGCCAUGCCCCCCAGUCACAUCAUGCCAGGCCAUGCACCCCAAAUCGCGUUGUGCAAGGCCAUGCCCCCCAAACCGCAUCAUGCCAGGCCAUGUCCCCCAAACCCGCAUUAUGCCAGGCCAUGCCCCCCAAACCGCAUCAUGCCAGGCCAUGCCCCCUAAUCGCAUCAUGCCAGGCCAUGCCCCCCAAUCACAUCAUGCCAGGCCAU